rnacentral:rRNA from 1 species
UACGGAGGUGGCAAGCGUUGUUCGGAAUUACUGGGCGUAAAGGGCGCGUAGGCGGCAUGGCAAGUCAGGUGUGAAAGCCCCGGGCUUAACUCGGGAACUGCAUCUGAAACUGCUUUGCUUGAGUCCUGGAGGGGGUAGUGGAAUUCCAGGUGUAGCGGUGAAAUGCGUAGAUAUCUGGAGGAACACCGGUGGCGAAGGCGGCAUCCUGGACCGGCAUUGACGCUGAGGCGCGAAAGCCAGGGGAGCAAACGGG